rnacentral:rRNA from 1 species
AGAGUUUGAUCCUGGCUCAGAAUGAACGUUGGCGGCGCGGAUUAGGCAUGCAAGUCGUACGGUAAGCUUCGGCUUAUAGUGGCGAAAGGGAGGGUAACGCGUGGUUACAUGCCCUCGGGACCGGGAUAGCGGCGGGAAACUGCCGGUAAUACCGGAUAAUAUCUUUGGAUCAAAGGUGUGAUUCCGCCCGAGGAUUGGACCGCGUUCUAUUAGCUUGUUGGCGGGGUAAUGGCCCACCAAGGCGACGAUGGAUACCGGGUGCGAGAGCAUGGCCCGGCUCACUGGGACUGAGACACUGCCCAGACACCUACGGGUGGCUGCAGUCGAGAAUCUUCGGCAAUGGGGGCAACCCUGACCGAGCGACGCCGCGUGCGGGACGAAGGCCUUCGGGUUGUAAACCGCUGUCAGUUGGGAGGAAGUGCCGGGGGGUUCUCCCCUCGGUUUGACCGAUCUUCAGAGGAAGGACGGGCUAAGUUCGUGCCAGCAGCCGCGGUAAGACGAACCGUCCAAACGUUAUUCGGUAUCACUGGGCUUAAAGCGUGCGUAGGCGGCCUGGUAGGUGAGGUGUGAAAGCCCACGGCUCAACCGUGGAAUUGCGCUUCAAACCACCAGGCUGGAGGAUGGCAGGGGUGAUGGGAACUGAUGGUGGAGCGGUGAAAUGCGUUGAUAUCAUCAGGAACACCGGUGGCGAAGGCGCAUCACUGGGCCAUUUCUGACGCUGAGGCACGAAAGCUAGGGUAGCGAACGGGAUUAGAUACCCCGGUAGUCCUAGCUGUAAACGAUGAGCACUGGGUUGAGGGGACCUCCACAUCUUCUCGGCCGUAGCGAAAGCGUUAAGUGCUCCGCCUGGGGAGUAUGGCCGCAAGGCUGAAACUCAAAGGAAUUGACGGGGGCUCACACAAGCGGUGGAGGAUGUGGCUUAAUUCGAGGCUACGCGAAGAACCUUAUCCUAGACUUGACAUGCUUA